AUAGGAGGUCCCGCCUGCCCAGUGACCAAAAGUUUAACGGCCGCGGUAUUUUAACCGUGCAAAGGUAGCGCAAUCAAUUGUCUUUUAAAUGAAGACCUGUAUGAAUGGCAUAACGAGGGUUUAACUGUCUCUUUCUCCUGGUCAGUGAAACUGAUCUACCCGUGCAGAAGCGGGUAUGAAUAUACAAGACGAGAAGACCCUAUGGAGCUUUAGACGCCCACCAAUCACGAAAAGCAGGUCUCGCUCAACAGACCCCCAAACAACGUGAUACUGGCACAAACGUCUUCGGUUGGGGCGACCGCGGGAGAGAAAAAAGCUCCCGAGAGGAUUGGGGCUACCCUAAAACCAAGAGCUACACCUCUAAGUCACAAAACAUUUGACCAAAAAUGAUCCGGCUACAUGCCGAUUAACGAACCAAGUUACCCUAGGGAUAACAGCGCAAUCCCUUCCCAGAGUCCAUAUCGACGAAGGGGUUUACGACCUCGAUGUUGGAUCAGGACAUCCUAAUGGUGCAGCCGCUAUUAAGGGUUCGUUUGUUCAACGAUUAAAGUCCUACGUGAUCUGAGUUCAGACCGGAGUAAUCCAGGUCAGUUUCUAUCUGUAA
rnacentral:rRNA from 1 species